rnacentral:rRNA from 1 species
UACGGGGGGAGCAAGCGUUGUUCGGAUUUACUGGGCGUAAAGGGCGCGUAGGCGGCGCAACAAGUCACUUGUGAAAUCUCCGGGCUUAACCCGGAGCGGCCAAGUGAUACUGUCGUGCUAGAGUGUGGAAGGGGCUACUGGAAUUCUCGGUGUAGCGGUGAAAUGCGUAGAUAUCGAGAGGAACACCUGCGGCGAAGGCGGGUUGCUGGGCUGAUACUGACGCUGAGGCGCGAAAGCCAGGGGAGCGAACGGG